GAAAAUAUAUUUAGAAAUGUUCAUGGAUAACAUUAGCAGUGGAGAGGAAGGAGAGGAGGAAGACUGGAUAGGAAGAAGAGUGAAGGAGACGGAGGAGGAAAGGCUCGUUCUGCUGUAAUCUCUACAACUGGACUCUUGUGCUCGGAUCACACUGGCACAGGAUGUCAAUGCACCGGAAGGCCAGAGGGAUGCACUCCUGUUGGACUGGAAAACAAACAGACAUUUGCUACUUCUCUGAUGAGUCGGUCUUGGAGGUUUACAAGUGCACAGCAAGUCUACACCAGCACAUUACUAUAACAACAUAGAUAAGGUGGGAUGGAUCUCAGGAUUUUUGAAUAUUUUUGUCAAGCAUUUGCCCUCUCAACAUGGAUCUUGUUUCUCGCUAUGUCUUUUGUGAGAUGUAUUUCACUGUCUGUGAACCCUCUGUGGUUCAGGAAUGGGGGAAUGUUUACAGUGACUCCUGCAGGCAUCGAGCUCUGGAUCAAGAAGCCUUUGUCUGCCAGGAUCACGUCUCCAGACAUGAAGAUCUUCUCAAACCUUAACUUCUGGACAAUGGCUUCGUCCGACACAGAUCCUGGAUACAGAUCACUGCAGUAUGUUAUCAUCACAUUAGGUGCAACACCCAGGAGUAGCUUGAAGGAGUGCAUUGAACGGUACACAGAGUAGGUUUGUUUCUGUAGAUCCAUCUGACUUGGAGUUGCAACUUCUAUGUCAAUACCGUCAAUGACAAUCCAGCAGUUUCUGCUGGACCCAUGAAACGAUGCAGGCAAGCACGUUUGAUUCUUCUCCUGAUUUGGAACAGUCUUCAUGAUGCUAAUGGAAAAAGGAUUGUGGAUGACAUGAAUGAAAGUGAUGGUAACAUUGCUGAGAGUGCUUGCACUACAAUGGAAUAGUUGAGUAAGGUGCAAGUUGGUGUAUCUGUGGCGCAACUUCCUAAGCUCCAUAAGCACUUGACCUAAAAUGACAGCAUCUCGACACUCCACUUUGCAAAGUAGACGACGCAGUCCUUGUGAUGUUCCAAGUAAUCAACAACCAUGUUGAAAAUGUCUUUGUCUGGAAGUCCUGUUUCCAUCCUAAGUACUUUAUCAGACAGCUGCGAUGCUGAAUUCCUGUUGCAGGUAUUCAGCUGAUUCUCCUGUAGAACCUUCAACUGACUUAAUGUUUCCUCAAGAUGCACCUCAGUGAGAACAUUCUGCAACUGUGCAGACAGCAGCCUCCUACAUUCUUCAGCCUGCCGAGGGGCCUGGAACUUCAUCUUCUGUCAUGGUGGAUGUGUCUGGAUCUUUCUCUUCUGUCAUGAUGGAUGUGUCUGGAUCUUCCUCUUCUGUCAUGAUGGAUGUGUCUGGAUCUUCCUCUUCUGUCAUGGUGGAUGUGUCUGGAUCUUCCUCUUCUGUCAUGAUGGAUAUGUCUGGAUCUUCCUCUUCUGUCAUGAUGGAUGUGUCUGGAUCUUCUUCUUCUGUCAUGGUGGAUGUGUCUGGAUCUUCCUCUUCUGUCAUGGUGGAUGUGUCUGGAUCUUCCUCUUCUGUCAUGAUGGAUGUGUCUGGAUCUUCUUCUUCUGUCAUGGUGGAUGUGUCUGGAUCUUCCUCUUCUGUCAUGGUGGAUGUGUCUGGAUCUUCCUCUUCUGUCAUGAUGGAUGUGUCUGGAUCUUCUUCUUCUGUCAUGGUGGAUGUGUCGGGAUCUUCCGCUUUUGCCAUGGUGGAUGAGCUACCAAUUAUCUUUCCCACCGGAAAAUGGCAGCUGCAGACCCAAGUGUUGUCACUGGGUUUCCGGCACACCCAUCUGAAAAAAACCAAACAUUUUACUAGCUAGCUGGGUUCAUUACUAAAAUGGUAACAUCUAUAUUUAAAUACCAUAACCCACAAACUUCACUAUAGUAACGGUAAAAUAGAUUGGGCUUUGGUCGAUCUGCACAUAAAAAAUCUUACCAUUUGGAUGGGAAAUUUCUGCUGGGCUGGAGGAAUUAUCUGGAAUGCUCAACUAGACCAGGACGGGUACCAUUGCCCAAAGAGGCAAAUUAUUGCGAUGGGCUAUACGGCUGUACUUAUGAUUCUAAUUCUCAAGAGGAAAGUUAAAACCCUCAGCCGUGAGGAGGACCAACAGUCGUAGAGGGAUCGUCUGAAAGGGACUGACAUGCAGAGAUGGAACACAAGGAUUUUGGGCACUGGCCAGCAGAUCACAAUUUCUACUAGCCUGGGUAACAUUCAGGUCCUAAAUCUGUGGCAUGUGAUGUUUGUGAAAGCAAAGUUGCACUGCUGUGUCAGGCUAGUUUGGCAGAUUGUCUACUAGCCCAGUCUGAAAAGUAUUAGCCUUGGGCUAGCUUAAUUUUCAUCCCUUCUGACAUUUCUAACUGACUUCACAGGUCAUUUGAUUAGUCAUGUACAACCAAUGCACUCGUGAAACAAAACCGUUUCUGUGUUUUGUAUGGGGAAACAUUGAGCCCACAAGUACUUUGUGAGAUAGCUAGCCAGCUAGUUAGUGUUAGCUCACCAUUCGUGUAGUCACACUUUUCCAUGUGGUGACAUGCUAGCUAAUGUUAGCCCACCAGGGCAGGGAUAUCAACACCAAGGGCUUCCCAUGGGAAGGAUAAACAGUAAUUAAAUGGAUAGUUCACCCAAAUGUCCUUACCCUGUAAGCUGUCUAUGGACAAGGUAUGCCAGCAGUCCAUGCUUUGUUUUUGUUUACCUGGCCAAUGUUUUCAAAUGCUCACGUUUUAGCAUUUGUGACACAAAUCCAAUUCAAUGGCACUUAUUUUAGAUUUUUUUUAUGGGGUUUUGUGUGCUGUGUUUCUACACCGCAUGUUCCCUGUUGCAACUUGUAAUAAACCAGAUGUUUUUCAUUGA